rnacentral:lncRNA from 1 species
UUUUUUUUUGGUGUUAAUGAUGUAGUGGGUGAGAGAGGAGAAUUUUGUUUUUGUUGCUAGGUGUUGUUGACUUGUUCAUAGAGAAGAAACUGAUAGUGGGAAUUGAAGGUAUAAAUAUAGAGGUGAUGAAUUCAUGGAGUUGUUGUUGUGGAGGAGUAUUUUUUAAUUGUCAUUGGGUUGUUGUUAGUGUGUUUAUGUUGAGAAUUGGGAUUAGAGGGUGUGUUUCGUUGAUUAAUGGAAGGAGUAUUAUUUGAUGUUUAUGGUGUGUAUUGUUGUUGUAGGUAUGUUAAUGGAGUAAGUAUUUUGUUAAUGGAGUGAAAUUUAUUUUGAC